rnacentral:misc_RNA from 1 species
GAUGAAGACGUAGUGAAAUGCGAUAAGUAAUGUGAAUUGCAGAAUUCAGUGAAUCAUCGAAUCUUUGAACGCACAUUGCGCCCGUCAGUAUUCUGGCGGGCAUGCCUGUUCGAGCGUCAUUACGCCCCUCAAGUCCCCUGUGGACUUGGUGUUGGGGAUCGGCGAGGCUGGUUUUCCAGCACAGCCGUCCCUUAAAUUAAUUGGCGGUCUCGCCGUGGCCCUCCUCUGCGCAGUAGUAAAACACUCGCAACAGGAGCCCGGCGCGGUCCACUGCCGUAAAACCCCCCAACUUUUUAUAGUUGACCUCGAAUCAGGUAGGACUACCCGCUGAACUUAAGCAUAUCAAUAAGCGGAGGA